UACGGAGGGUGCAAGCGUUAUCCGGAUUUACUGGGUUUAAAGGGUGCGUAGGUGGGUUGGGAAGUCAGUGGUGAAAUACUUUCGCUUAACGGAGGAACUGCCAUUGAUACUAUCAAUCUUGAAUGUAGUGGAGGUAGGCGGAAUGCGUCAUGUAGCGGUGAAAUGCUUAGAUAUGACGCAGAACACCAAUUGCGAAGGCAGCUUGCUACACUACUAUUGACACUGAGGCACGAAAGCGUGGGGAUCAAACAGG
rnacentral:rRNA from 1 species